rnacentral:lncRNA from 1 species
GUAAACGCAUUUUCUACUUACGAUAUUUUCAACUUACGAUGGGUUUAUGGGGCCGCAACCCCAUUGCAAGUUGAGGAAGAUCUGUAUCAUCUGGCCAUCUGGCCAUCUGGUCAUCAAGUCAGCUGGUGCUGGAGAAGCCUGGCCUCAAGGGGCAGCAGGGAAUAGAGGGGUGGGCUGCAGCCAGUCACAGAGGGUCUUAUUUGUCUGGACUUUGUCCUAUAAGCAAGGGAGAGGCAUGGAAGGGUUUUUUUUUUUUAAUUUUUAAAAUUUUUAUUUAUUUAUUUUGAGGAAGAUUAGCCCUGAGCUAACAUCCGCUGCCAAUCCUCCUCUUUUUGCUGAGGAAGACUGGCCCCGAGCUAACAUCUGUGUCCAUCUUCCUCUACUUUAUAUGUGGGACGCCUGCCACAGCAUGGCUUGACAAGCUGUGCCAUCUCCGCACCCGGAUCUGAACUGGUGAACCCGGGGCCGCCGAAGCAGAACGUGCGAACUUAACUGCUGCACCAUCAGGCCGGCUCUGGAAGGGUUUUAAAUAAGGUGGAGGAAACUGAGUCUGGAACAGCCAAAGGCCUGCAUGGAAGUUGGCAUCUUCACGCUGGAGUUGGGCUCGCCAUCCAGGUCUCCAGACUCAGCAGGGAAUAAAGCUGUUGCUUUCACCAGAUGUCGCUUCUCUUUCUGUGAAGAAGAAUGUGUGGCUUGAUUUCCUCCCAUCAGAUUUGUGAAUUGCUUCUGGCCACCAGGGAGACAGAAGUUAAAGCACAUGGCUGCCGGAAAGUCCUUUCCUGACUACAUGGCCUCUCAGAAGAUGGCGAAGUGUGUGGUCUUCAUUGCAGCACAGGUCAGAAGCACAGUGAUCUGUCUCCCAGAAUGCCAAGGCUGUGUUCCACUAGCAAGAUUCAGAGGAAAAAGAACUAUUCUGCAGGAUCCAGUAAAGCUGCAGCCUGUUGGAGAUGAACCUCCAGGAAGAAUCAGGUCAAUUGAGAGAGGACAAGUUUAUGGAGAAUGCAAACAGAUCGAGUUUCCUUUACAAUGUGAAAAUCCCUGUGACAGUUUAGGGGUUUUGUGGGAGUGGAGACUGAAUGUCCCUUUGAGGAGUUUGCCUGGAGGAUAGUCAAGGAAAACAUCCGCCCGGGUAGAAUUUCCACACCCCGCCAUCUGAAGAGGAGUGCCCACAGGGGACAAAGAGUUCCUGGGACCCUCUCGGCUAUCUUACCUGCUCUUGCCCGCUGCCCCCAGAGCCCUCGAGAAGACUAAGUCACAUGUGGAAUGACUUCUGAGCAGAACCCAAUAAAGUGUGAUAUGUAUUAAAUAUCA